rnacentral:lncRNA from 1 species
AAAAAGUUGGGAAAAAAUAUUGGGAAUCAGUCAGCAUCAAUAUAUACAAAUUACUAGUUACAAAUGCUUAGGAAGUAGACCUCAAAGGAUAGAGACAGAGAAUCCAGUUCUUUUGCUUAAAUCUUUUUUUUUUCUAGUUCAUCUCUUCUUGGUUCACUGAAGCUGGUCAUAACCUAACUCGUGGUGAAAAGCUUUCGCUCAGUUCGUUCGUCCCCGUUUGCUGCCCCGGAAGAGGUAUAUUUCUUCUGAUUCUAAAUCGUUUAGUUGGUUUUCUACUCGUGAAUGGAACCUUCUGUUGAUUAUUUUCUUCUUUUUCUUGAAUGAUUUUUCUCUCUUGGUUUGUUGUUUAUGUCUGAUGUGUUGGUUUUUUUAGAGUCGUUAACUCGAUUUUGAUGCUACAAGUCAGCUGAGUCUCCAUUUAGUUAUGCUUGAGUAGUUACUGUUCUUUUGGUUUCAACUCGAGUUUUGAUAGCUGUUUGGUAUGUUCCUUCUCUUUUCGCUCAUGUUUUGGACUGGUGUUCUCUUUCGUUUGAUUCCGAAUGUUAGAGUCUCAUCGAUAUUGGAGUAAUAUUGUAGUUUUUAUCCGUUCUAAUAUAACUUGAUUAUUAUUUAUGUUCUGUUUCGAAAAACUGGUAUGCUUUAGCCUUUUGAAGUUAGUCAUUCGACUCAGUAUCAACAUGCUCUUGUGUUUAUUAGAGUAUUAUAUAGUCUCUGUAUUUAUUUGGAUAGUUACUGAUCCCUUCUCUCCGCCCAUCUCAGUUUUGUUUCAUGUUCCUCGGUUUGAAAUGGUCUAGCUUUUGUCUAUUUGAUAGAGUAUCUGUCUGCGGUUAGAGUUCCCGUGGCAUCUCGAAAUUCAUUUAUCCAAUAUAGUAUAUGUUAAUGGUUUAGUGUUCUGUGGCCUAGAAAUCAUUUUUUUCCAGCAUGCUGUUGUGCUAGCUAAUCAUAGCAAUCUCAUUUAUUUCAUUUGGUUUACAAUAAUUUCUAGUAGGGAAUACAUUGUUUUCCAUGAUUAGCAAAAUGGGUUUCUUUCCAGUUAUAUACUAUGACUUCUUUUCUUUAAAUGAUGGUGCAUAAAGUAUAGUUUGGCAGUGAUUCUUGGCUUGGUUGUCUCAGUUUUUGAUAAACUCAUUGUGGUUAGUCAUUGUUUGAAAUUUGAUCCUAUGGCUUUCUUAGCAAGAGAAUAUGUUCAGAUUAUUUGUGUCUUCCAUGAGAUUUCGUCUAGUUGUGUUUAUCCAUUCACUGAUGCCAAUUUUCCUUGCAUUUUCAAAUUGUUGGAUUAGUUUACAGUUUAUGGAUGUUUUAUUUAUUUACUGUAUAAUGAUUUUAACUCAUUAUUACUCUUUCGUUUGCAUGUGAAAUAUGCCCGAGUUCUACAUGAACUCCUACGUUCUCCCUUGCAUCUGGAAAUAGGCCAAGGAGGCCCAAUUCUCUCUUAGCGAGUCAACUAGAUCAAUAAAUUUGAAGAAUAGGUUCCCUAAAGUCGAUGUACAGGUGCAGCAGCGGCCUCACAAGGCUGAAAAUGAGUGGCGAAAAUAGGCCCCAAAGCCCUAAUUUCAGUUUUGCAUUUGUGUUGUAAUUGGGUCAAAGGUCCAUAUAUUUUUAGUAUUACUAUGCUAGUUUUAGAACAGGGAAUUUGGGCAAAAAGCCCACUUAUCUUUGGCAGAUUUUUUGUUAGUUUUAGGACACGUACAGGUG